rnacentral:misc_RNA from 1 species
GUAGAACAACUCGUGGAUCAUUGUAUCGAUUCAGAUAGAAUAUAAUUGCGACGCAAUGGAGCUUGAUCUCUGACAAUCUGGAAGAAUGCUGUGAAAAAUCUUAUGCGAUUUCUUGCCAUUUAACGAUAAUAAAGCCGAUAUCUCCGAAUUAUCUGUCUGUCAUUGCAGUGCGAACAAUUACUGAUAAGUCCAUCAGGUAUGAUUGGAACGAAUUGACAUCGAUGAUCAUUUCCUCGACACAUACGUAAAUCGAUACAUAUAGUCAAAGAAUGACAGAGUAUCUACGGCGAUCAUGAUAUGUGUAGCUGGUCGCAGGUGGUCACGGAGAAUACACUGAGUGUACACGUGUCUGUUGACAGAGUGUGUCUCUUGAUAGAUAAUCGACUUGUGAUAUCUACGUCUUGCACAAAAUCUAGAUUACGUAUUGAUUAUAUCGAGGAAGCGCAAGUUGGAGCGUUUAAGACAUAGACUUAUGCCAAUGUACAACUUUGAUCCUGGAGAAGAGGAAGAGGAUGACUGGGAGACUGAACUGUUGGACGAAUGCUACAGUACACAUCAGAGACGAAUCGUAUCGUCUCCAAUAAGAUAAACUAGAAAGUGAAAAAAUUCCGAAUCAUCUGUGUAUACAUCUACGUAUAUUAUGUGUGCAAUUAAUGUAAAAAAAUAGUAGUUUAUUUAAUUUCUAUCAAGAUACUAAAGAGAUGUGAUUUUAUUCGCGAAUAAUUGUUCUUGCAAAAUUAGUGCCGUAUAUCGUAUAUAUAUAGAAAAAAAAAAAGAAAAUAAAUAU